rnacentral:rRNA from 1 species
CAGUAGCCGCGGGAAUACAGAGGGUGCGAGCGUUAAUCGGAUUUACUGGGCGUAAAGCGUGCGUAGGCGGCUAAUUGAGUCGGAUGUGAAAUCCCCGAGCUUAACUUGGGAAUUGCAUUCGAUACUGGUUAGCUAGAGUGUGGGAGAGGAUGGUAGAAUUCCAGGUGUAGCGGUGAAAUGCGUAGAGAUCUGGAGGAAUACCGAUGGCGAAGGCAGCCAUCUGGCCUAACACUGACGCUGAGGUACGAAAGCAUGGGGAGCAAACAGGAUUAGAUACCCCAGUAGUCCCUGUCUCUUAUGC